AGGGAGAGGCGUGGCACCUGAACACUCCCAAACUGCACCAAACCACAUUUGACUUCUGCUCGGACUGUUGGCUGCAAUUCAGCGUCAGUCUGCUUUAUCAUCAUAUGGUGACUACCCAACAUGCUGUGGAGCUGUAAAUACUAUUUGUCUGGAAUUCAAAAGGAUUGUGGGAAAAGACCUGCACCAGGAAUUUUAUUCUGCCCUUGAUAACCACACUACCCAUUUUAUUGAAAGUUUUAAAGCUAAGAGGGGCAACGUGGGUGACAGUUGGCACAGCUUUUGCAGCAAAUACAGUCACUGGAUUCUACUGAAAAAAGGACAGUCACACUAAGAGGUCUUCCUUACUUACUCGGAGACAAGUCCCACUGAAUUCUUCAAAUCUAGAAGCUUUG